rfam:Nematostella vectensis strain CH2 x CH6 NEMVEscaffold_25_Cont4537, whole genome shotgun sequence.
GGCCUUGUGGCCCAAUGGAUAAGGCGCCUGACUACGGAUCAGGAGAUUCCAGGUUCGAGUCCUGGCAGUGUCG